rnacentral:tRNA from 1 species
GAGGUUUUAGUAUAAUUGAGUAUAUUUUUUUUUCGUGAAAGUGGUUUAAAUCUUA